rnacentral:rRNA from 1 species
AGAGUUUGAUCAUGGCUCAGGACGAACGCUGGCGGCGUGCCUAACACAUGCAAGUCGAACGAGGAAAGGGUGCUUGCCCNNUAUCCGAGUGGCGAACGGGUGAGUAACACGUGACCAACCUGUCCUAGGGCGGGGGAUAACCUGGGGAAACCCGGGCUAAUACCGCAUGAUGUCCGGACCUCUCAUGGGGACCGGAUCAAAGAGGGCCUCUGCUUGCAAGCUCUCACCCAAGGAGGGGGUCGCGACGUAUCAGCUAGUUGGUGGGGUAACGGCCUACCAAGGCUACGACGCGUAGCGGGUCUGAGAGGACGACCCGUCACAUUGGGACUGAGAUACGGCCCAGACUCCUACGGGAGGCAGCAGUGGGGAAUAUUGCGCAAUGGCCGAAAGGCUGACGCAGCGACGCCGCGUGUGGGAGGAAGCCCUUCGGGGUGUAAACCACUGUCGGAGGGGAAGAACCCCGUCAUUUCGAAUAGGGAUGGCGGCUGACGGUACCCUCAAAGGAAGCGCCGGCUAACUCCGUGCCAGCAGCCGCGGUAAGACGGAGGGCGCAAGCGUUGUUCGGAAUUACUGGGCGUAAAGCGCGGGCAGGUGGCCUGUUAAGUCUUUUGUGAAACUCCGGGGCUCAACCCCGGAAAUGCAAGAGAUACUGGCAGGCUAGAGACCAGUAGAGGCUAGCGGAAUUCCUGGUGUAGCGGUGGAAUGCGUAGAUAUCAGGAAGAACACCUGUGGCGAAGGCGGCUAGCUGGGCUGGAUCUGACACUCAUCCGCGAAAGCGUGGGGAGCAAACAGGAUUAGAUACCCUAGUAGUCC